UGAAGCGCUGCGCUCACCUAAAAAUUACCCCCUGCCUUGCGCAACUGACGAAAUCAUUUGUCUAGCUGUCCACCCCGGCAGAAAUGGCUGAUUUUGUACGGAACACUGAAGCCAGGGAGACGGAGAAUCACCAUCUUGGCAUAAACAAACAAAAAAAGGACGAGCAAGACAAUGUUCUGCAGUAAAACAAAGGGUAGCUUUUCUUGAACCUUGGCAUUACAGAUCUGGAUUAUAGAAACCCUGGGAAAGGCACGGGUGAUGAACAGAGGACGACAAACGGGUUACAUCACCGAGGGCUUGCGUGUGUCAGCUGUUGUUUCGUCCCUGGGCUCGGGGCCUGCUGGGGCCUGCAGCUACCAUCUUAAGUUCCAACGGCCACUCAGUCGCCGUGCCUGGGAUUACGUGUUCGAGAAGGACAGAGCAAGGCUCCAUUCUGGCCCACUCCCUUCUGUCGGCGGAUCACAAGAACCGGUGCAUUUGUUUGGUCUGGUUGUCUGCUCCUGAAGAUCAUCUGGCUGGUCUGGUCGGCAAAGUCACAGUGAAUGCACCAUUUAGAGCAUUUAAAAAACAAAGUAGUUCAAAGGAUUGGAACAACAGGGUCAGAGUGUCUUAAAUGGAGGCGACGGCAAGAAAGAGAAGUCUCUUUGCUGACUCGACUGUCAUUCCCCAAGCUUACACUGUGCUUAAGCCGUUAAACAUUGAUCUGCCUCAAAGCUACUGGGUGUGGGGGGGCAUUGCAAACCUGCGCGUGGAUAUACACGUGCCCCAUUACAGCCAGCAGGUGCAGGCACGUAUUUCUCGACCAACAAUCUUCCGAAGCUGCGGUGGAGAGCCGUGUGCGGAUCCUGAACAACGGGAGCUGGCCUGAUGCAAACCGACAGACCACGUUGCAGGCCUUAAAUGUCACCACUGGUCCUCACAUGAAAGAAGCAAUGCAGCCCCAAGGUUGAAUUUUUGCCACACAAAUGAGUAGAGGGGGAAGCAGCGAAGGACAAAAUAAACAGCAGAAGGAACCAACAAAUGAGAUAAUAGAAAGAGUGAGGAGAACAGGGUGAUGUGAGCUGUACAGUCACUCUUAAAAUAAACAGAUAAAAAGACAAAGGCAGGAAUAAUGAGUCAUUCCUUUGGGAGACCAGAUUUUUUUUUCCUCCGGAAAAUACUACGACAGCGCUGGAAUACUGCUUAUGCCGAGAGCUACAAUAUUUAUCACUUAUUCUACAAAAUGAAAUAAACAAAUGAGGGGUGUACGCACAUGCUUAAGACAGAAAGAUAAAAAAUAAAGAUGAGGAGAGAUAAACUGGCUACAGAUGUGUGGCUGGAGUACACACAAUGUAGUGUUUAAUACAUGGUGAUCAGGGAGGAGGAGGAGAGAUCUGCAGAACUAUGGUCUGCUUCAUUGAAAGUGUCAGAGAUUCAAUAAAAAUAAGGUUGCAGAAAGAUCUCCCUUCACAACAGCCGAAACUCGUGUCAGAAAAAUACUCUCUAGGAACGCAGAGCAGGGGAGAUGGAAGAGGAGGGGUGAGAAGAAUUAGAGGGGACAGAGAGAGACAAGUCCGUCUCCGAGCAGACCAUUCUUCACCUUAAGGUGUCGACAACAGCUGGCACUUUGGCACCUUGCUCAUGCCCACACCUGUCCCACCUGCUGUGUCUACACACACCAUCCAUCCACAGCUGUCCUUAACAUUAUCUAUAGCAACACUGUCAUUUAAUAUAAUAAGUUUUUCCUUUUUCCAAUUUUAGACAAAUACAGUACACAACACAAAAUACACAACACAGAGACCGGCGCAGCUGUAAUCCUACACAGGACUAUAAAGCAACACCUUGUAAAUCUUUUAUGACUCACAUUCUGUUGUUGGAAAUAUAUUUGCUGAACUUAUUUAUUGAACGUAUUUAUCAGGAGUAUAACCAAACUACAGCAAAAAGUUUGUCAGUGCACGAAAUCAGACUCAUGGUUGAGGUCAAGGGAAAACGUGUGAUUAGACAUUUUCCUAAACGUACCUCAGAAAUUAGGUCAGACCGUGAUCUACAAACAGUCUUGCAAUAGACUGACCGAAACAAGCUAUAAUAGCCACAUUCCUAUACUGUGAUGGAUUCUAUAUUAGUGUACUGGGCCUGUAUAACCGUAAGCUGGCGUGCAUACUUCUGUGUUGUCUGGUAGGAGUGACCUAGUGUGUACGUCUGGCCCAUUAGAGCACAAAAAGCCAUUGUAUCAUUAGCUAAAGGGAGAAAGGGUGGCGAGUGGAGCUGAGGGGAGGGGUUGUCGACCUUCUUCAUCCCCGACCAGAUGACCUCAUUCACAGCACAUAGGAAUCCUCUGUCUCCCCCCACUGUUCUUUAUCACACUCUCCAUCCGCCCAUUGCUCUUGGUGGCCUCUGCUCGCCUGUUUCCUUUCUGUGAACACAAUCAAUCAACUGAGCACGGACGAGGCUCGUUCUCACCAACCCUUUCAUGCAGACGGCACAUUCUUUCCUGCCGUUUAUCGGAGAGUUUUUAUGCGAGUCAUUCAUAUGUUAUACACUGCGCUAAAGGGGCUCAUUGUUUCACAAAUUAAAGCCUAAUCAUACCAAA